rnacentral:lncRNA from 1 species
AGAUGACAGGAUUGGACAUUGAGAAGGAUCAGAUUAUUGAGAUGGCUUGUCUGAUAACUGACUCUGACCUUAACAUUUUGGCUGAAGGUCCCAACCUGAUUAUCAAACAGCCGGAUGAGUUGCUGGACAGCAUGUCAGAUUGGUGCAAGGAGCAUCACGGGAAGGUAACAUUACCAAAUAACAAGAUUGCUGCUUUGGGGAUCAGUCACAAGCUUGUUGCUUCCACAUUUGACUCCUGUGGCCUUGGUGGAUGGUGUUAUAAAAGGGUUAGAGGACGGUGGCUUAGGCCAGCCGCUUGCUUGUUCUCUUUUCACUCUGGGACCUCUCGAGAUCACCUUCUCCUGAAUGCCCUCUUUUUUCCUGUCUUCUACAUUCAGUCUGUCGCGAGCGCAUUGUGGAGUUCCGAGUGUUACUCAAGUCAGUCUUUUGGAUAAGGUUAGACCUCGACCCUCAGAGAAGGGGGACUACCGCCCUCCUGUUGGGAGCUGUUUCUUGCCCGAGGUUCUAUCCUUGGACUCUUGAGCGCCAUCUUUCCUGACUGUGGAAAUGAUAUUAAUGAAUCAGGAACAUAACCUAAUUCGGUUUGGCUUCUUUAAGACACAAAAUUGUGGUGUCCAAGAUGGCAGUUUCAGUUCAAACUCGAGCCCCCUCCCCCACCCCACCCCCCCGCAAGAGCAGCCCAGCUGUGGUUAACAUUUACCUGUUUUAGAAAUGAAGUUUCAUUUCUGGAUACCUUUGAAAACUGACUUCAUGUGUUUGUGGUGGGGGCCGGGGAUUCUCUCUUGCAGUCUGGUCUUACCAAGGCCGUGAAGGAGAGUACAGUUACACUGCAGCAGGCAGAGUAUGAAUUUCUGUCCUUUGUACGACAGCAGACUCCUCCGGGGCUCUGUCCACUUGCAGGUAAAAUCCAAUCCUAUGUCUAUCUCGUAGAUAACCUUCUAUAGUAGUGGUUCAAGAAACUGAAGUUCCAGAGAGACCAGCCGAGGCCAUCCUUGCCUUCCACUCACCUGAUUCGGAAUACUCGUCCGCUUUUGUAUAUCGGUGACAAGGCUCGGAACUCGAUCUGAGAAACACAUAUGAACUCAGCCCCCCACCCCCCAUGUUUUUAUUAUGGAAAAAACAAAACAAAACAAAACAAAAAAAAUGCCAGAUGCACAGAGAGGUUGAGUUUGGUCAUUGUUAAUCUCUGCCGCCUUGGUGUCCCCUUAUAUUUUUCUUGCUGCUUUUGGACACUUGAAAACAAACUCCUCCCUAAAGUCCGUCUCAAGCAGCUCCGGAGAGUAAGGGCGUUUUCUUACAUGAUACACAUUAUUACUGCAUAGGAAAUGGUUAAUCCCAUUUAAGAAUAUGUGUGGGGCCCAGCCCACGUUUGGAGCACCCUAAAGUGUCUGUUUUUGAGCCCAAAGUUAGUCGCUGCUCAUAUAUAUUUUAUCCGGUUAUUUCGUCUCGGGUUAGUUAGUCUAAAGUCAUUCACCUACCUUUUUUUUUUUUUGCCCCUUCCCAUGACACUGACUUUCUAAAGAGACCAGAUCUAUUACAGUGGGAUUUUUAAAGGGUUGAUGUUGUCAGAGGGAAGGGGAUGUUCUAUGGGAUGUGCUCGCAUCUCUGUAUGGAAAUUAAUGUGGUAACUAACCUUUUACAAGGAAAAGUUUUGGCAUUACACACGAGAGCAUAUAUUGUAUGGGUUUUUUUUUUUUCCUCCUUAGCCAAUGCGGCUGAUGUCUAUUUUAAAGUUCUCACUUAAAAAACCCAGUGUUUCUAAUAUAAAUCACUGUAUGAAAGCAUGAAUGCAGAUGUGACUUGUCAAAAAAUAUUGGAAUGUAAAAUAAAGGUUUAUCUACUGUAUGGUUCAGU